UUUAUGACAUGUUGGAGUUUU
rnacentral:piRNA from 1 species